UACAGGCGCAUACAAGAAUACAGAACAAAAAGGCUACUAGAAGUGGCGUAUCUCUUCAGUGCCGUGUUCCCACUUAGAUCAAUCAUGAGCUGGACUCUUCUACUUCUGCUGGCCUCUCUGUCAUAUGUCCAUGGCAUCAGUCUGACCUCGUCUCCUGCUGAGGUUAGGUCUCCGGGGAACUCCGUGAAGGUGUCCUGUCAGGUCUCUGGAUAUGCUCUCAGUGACUAUGGCACAUGCUGGAUCAGACAGCCACCAGGCAAAAGUAUGCAGUGGAUUGGGAUCAUAUGGGGUGGAGGAUCCAUAGACUAUGCAGGAUCCUUUAAGAGUCGCUUCACCAUCUCCAGAGACACGAGCAGUAAUGUGCUCUUCUUAGACAUCACUGGCCUGCUGCCUGAAGACUCAGCUGUUUAUUAUUGUGCAAAAACAGCCACAGCAUGUACCCGGCAGCCUGUCAGUGCAAUGUUUCCCGGAGCUCGCACUGACGAUGUCACCUCGCCUGGUGAUGACGUUUGCAACCGAAAUGCCAAGAUCGGAGAACACUACAAUUUUGAAAGUUCAGCAUCUCUAGAGGCACUGGCAGUAACACAAUAA